rnacentral:rRNA from 1 species
UACGUAGGGUGCAAGCGUUAAUCGGAAUUACUGGGCGUAAAGCGUGCGCAGGCGGUUAUGUAAGACAGAUGUGAAAUCCCCGGGCUUAACCUGGGAACUGCAUUUGUGACUGCAUAGCUAGAGUACGGCAGAGGGGGAUGGAAUUCCGCGUGUAGCAGUGAAAUGCGUAGAUAUGCGGAGGAACACCGAUGGCGAAGGCAAUCCCCUGGGCCUGUACUGACGCUCAUGCACGAAAGCGUGGGGAGCAAACAGG